AACUAAAGUAUAAAUACCACCGCUGGGAAGCUAAGACAAAAAUAAAUUUUGCGAAAAUGUUUUUCAAAAGGCUAGCGCUUAUACCAAUUGUCGUUCUAUGUCUGGCAUUGGCUGUAAAGGCUUGUGGGACAUCGAUUCCCAAACUGCAAGGUAACUCAAUUGACGAUAUUGUGACAAAAUUGGUUACGCCAAUAUUGGCUCUGAUACAUCAUCUGUUGAAAGUUCUGGGUGUGAACCAAAAACUUUAUUUAAUACUAGAAGAGGUGCUCCCAGAAUUUGUUUACGAAAUUGUUCUUCCUAUCAGCAAUCUGAUAUGAUCUACUUCGGUCAUAUACGGGAAAGGGUAUACGCGCUUAUUGGAUAAAUAAUGUAAACCACAACCAAACACUCCAUGGCUUUAAAAUAUGAAAUUUAAUUAAAUUAAAAUUUGUAUUUACAUCA